rnacentral:misc_RNA from 1 species
AAAUAUGAUCUCAAAUAUUGUGUAAUAAUAUGUGUGUAGUUAGUAAUGAAGUGUAGUGCUUAAAUGUAUGUAGAUUGGAAUUUAUUCAAUGUGAUGUGGUUUUAAUUAGUAAUGUAGGAUUUUGUGGGUAUAUAGCUGAUAUUUCUAAUGUUAUUUUCAUAGAAUAAUUAUCAGAGUAGCUAUCAACUUGAAGACAAUAAAAUGUAUACAGAAAACUCUUUACUGUAAUAAACAAUAAACGUAAGAAAUAGUGCGGUACACUAUAUACUGUUUUAAAGACGAAAAACAGUAAACAAUUAAUUAACUAAAACAUUAAAAAAUAAUGUCAAAACACGAAGGAAAAACAUAGGACCAAAAACAUCACCCUGUGGUACUCAAUACAAAAACUGAGUAGAAUCAACUAAAUCCAAAAUGGCGUCGUCGAACGGCAAAGAUAGUUCGAAAAUGACGACGUCUGUUGACAGUUUGAAGUUGUCAAGCAAGAAUACGUCAAGGAACUCGUCAAAACAUGCGUCAUCGGAGUCAGUGCUAUCGAAGAAGGAAAAGGAGUCCAUGCAGAUGCAGGAAUGUAAGAAGAAGCUGUUGGGCAUGGAACCACAGGUCAUCAUCAGAGAUGACAACGUGCUACUCAAGUCACCACCGCAGAAAAAGAUCGUCAUGCCACCAACCAUCAACCCUGAGGAACUGGCAGCAUCAACUCCUACGCAGCGCAACUGGCGCGGGAUCCUCAUAGCGCUGCUGGUGAUAGCGGCGGUGCUGGCGUUGAUCGUGUUCAGCAUCGCGCUGCUCACCCCUGCCGGCGACGGAGGCCGCGUGCGCGGGCGCAGACCCACGCUGCAAUCGCUCACGCAGCUAAUAUAUAAACCCUUCAAUGGCAGUUGGCUAACAGACGAGGAGCUGGUGUUCCGCGACCGCUGGGGCGGGCUCACGCUGUUCAAUGUACGCAACUACACCACCAGGCUGCUUAUGAACAACUCCACCUUUAGGGAGCUAAACGCAGUCGACUUCAAGGUGUCACCAGAUCUCAAAUUCGUGCUGUUAAUAUCUGAUGUGCUACCAGGGUGGAGGCACGUGCGAAUGGCACGGUACCACGUAUAUGACAUUAUCAACAGGAACAAGAUCCCGAUCUCGCACGUAGAGGACGACCGAUCAGCGCCGCUGCUGCAGUACGCCGAGUGGUCACCCACCGGCAGCAGCCUCGUCUUCGUGCACGACAAUGACAUCUACUACAAGCCCUGGGUGCUCAAGAGGCUCAUCUGCAGGAUCACCAACACUGGUGUUCCUGGAGUGAUCUGGAACGGCGUGCCAGACUUCCUUUACGAGACUGAAGUGUUGCGCCUGGACCGGGCGUUGUGGUUCAGCCCAGACGGUCAGAACCUCAUGUACGUCACCUACAACGACAGCCUGGUGCAGAAGCACAGGUAUUCCUGGUACGGCCUGGACUUGCAGGAGCCGCCAGCCUAUCCGAGCAUACUCACGCUCUGGUAUCCCAAGGUUAACACCAACAACCCGGUGGCGACGGUGUACGUAGUGAGCCUUAAAACCCCAAAGUUCCUGUUCCCGCACGCUAUACAGUUCACCUCACAAGUUGAUAAAGAAUGGUACGUGCGCUGGACGACGUGGAUUUCGGAGAAACAAAUUGCUGUCCUGCUGCUCAACCGACCGCAGAAUGUCUCCAUCAUCAGCAUCUGCAACGCCAACACUUACAACUGCCAGGAUAUCUACCGCGACGAAUCCGACGGCUCGCGCUGGUCUGGCCUCGGCUCCGACCCUGUAGACGACGACUGCGGCUGGUGCGGGGGCGGAGCCCUGCUCGGCGGUAAGGGCGGAGUCUUCACCACGGCGCCGGUGGCGGACCAGCCUGGCACCUGGAGGCACGCUGUCAGGGUCUCCCAGGAUGCGAAGACUACUCUGACACAAGGGAUGUUUGAGAUCACGCAGUUGGUUGGGUGGGAUGAGCGGAGGCGGCUGCUGUACCUGAUCGGCACAGCUCCAGAGAAGGCUGGCGAGCGUCAUCUAUACCGGGUAUCGGUGCCUGCUGACUCCGCAACCUGGCCUGAACCAGCCCACUGCGUCACGUGCCCCGAUAUGGACCCUCUGCCACCUGAUUCCACUGUUGAACCUACUAGCGAAGACCCGGAUCAAGAGAACUCCACGUCCCCGCUGCCGGCGUGGCCGACGUCGACAGUGCUGCCCCACGUGUCUGAUGAGAAUGACUCCCUGCCGACGGAGUGCCUCUACAACAGAGUCAUCUUUAGCAAGAACUUCUCUUACUUCGUACAGGAGUGCCUGGGCCCUGGCCCGCCGGUGUACCUGCUGUGCACAGCAACUGGUGAGCGGCGCGCUGUACUGUGGGACGGACAGCCCCUGAGACAGAAAUACGCCGGCCUCGCCGCGCCGCAGUCCAAAGUGUUUAGAGUCGAGGUACAAGCGGAUCGUGAAGCUCGCGUCCGUCUGUUGCUACCACCAGGGUUUAGAGAAACUGACGACUUGCCGCUGCCACUUGUACUGCAUGUCUCCGCAAAACCAGGAGGCCAGCUGGUGACAGAGAAAUGGAAGCCAGACUGGGGUUGGUACCUGGCGGCGGCAAGGAACUUCAUCGUGGCAGAGAUCGACGCAAGAGGCGCCGGCGGACAGGGCGAGGAGUUGCGGACGGAGAUCUACCACAAGCUGCUCACUGUCGAUGUGGAGGACCAGAUCGCUGUGCUCUCCUACCUCCGAGACAACCUGAAGAUGGUCGACGGCAGCCGCGUGGGCGUGUGGGGGCAGGGGUACGGCGGCGGCGCGGCCACGGCGCUCGCAGCAGAUGAUGUCAGAAAUGUCACUAGAUGUCUGGCGGUCGUCGCACCGCUUACUGACCUCAGGCAUUAUAAUUCCUACUGGACGGAGCGCUACAGCGGCUACGGCUCGUCAUGGGCGGGGGCGUUGAGCGUGAGCGCGGUGUGGCGGAAAGCGGGCAACCUGCCGCCACGCCGCCUGCUGCUGGCGCAUGCUACCGCUGACGUUGUGGCCCCACCACACCAAGCAUUAGCCCUCGCAAGGGCUCUCAUCAAGGCUAAUGCUGUUUAUACGCAUCAGGUGUACCCAGACGAAGGCCACAACUUCGAGCGUUCUCAUAUCCACCUUUACAAAUCGAUGGAGCAGUUCUUCGACGAAUGUUUCGGCCCAGUGGAGGUGGCAGAUUGGGACGCCGGUGGGGUAGGGGGGCUGUUCCCCUUCCGGGACUAGCUAGAAUGUGACUGCUGGUAAACAUAGCCGGGAUUUGGCCGAAGGUUACCGGUUUUUACCGGUACUUGGCGAGUCGUUACCGGUAAUUGGCGAGUGGUUACCGGUACUUGGCUAACUGGGACGGUGUUUACCAGUACUUGGCCUACUUGGCCUUGAAGACUUUUCGUGAUUCUUGCUAUGUGUGAUCUUGGCAAGGUGCAGUCUUUUCGUGUUCUUGGCAAUGGGACCUUUGUUAUGAAACUUAUGUGAUAAUGUGCAGAAUCUUGGCCAUUUGAUGAUCUUGACAAGAAGAAAAGUGUAAUAAGAACUAGGCUUCUAUAAAUGACAAGCUCUUGGUGAAAUGAUUAUUUAUUAGCUUGGCCGUGCGUCUUGGCAAGAGAGCUUUGUGUAGAGGAGUAGGUAGUCUUGACAAUGCAACGUGUCAAAUAUCUUGGCGUACUAAUAAUUCGUAAUUCUUCCCUAAAAUUUGGGAUCUUGAAAAUACCCAAUUAAAACGAAUAUUUGACAUUUUAUUUAACAGGAUUAAAACAAAUAAUCUCCUGAAAAACUGUAUUUAUCAAGAACAAAAUAAGUAUCAUUAUCAAAAUCGACCAAAUUUUUUAAUUUACUUACCAUUGAUGAUUGAAAGGAUUCUUUUUCAACUCAAAAAUUGCGAAAAUGGUAACAGACAUUAUUAAUUGGGUAUGUUGUUAAUAUUGUAUGUAAUAAAAUAGAAUAUUAUUAUUUAUUUUUAAUUUUUCAGUCCAAAACGACAUUAUCAUUUUUUUUUAAUAUCUCAUGUAAAUUUCCAGUAAACCUUUUAAAAUAUAUUGUUAAUUGAUGACAUUUAUUAGGAUAAAUUGAACGAAAAACUAUUAGAAGAAUUGCCAAAAUUUGACUUCCAAAAUGGUUAUUAUGAGUGAGUUAAAAAAAUAAUCACCAAAAUAAAGCAUUAAAAACAUCAUGUCACAGAAAUAAAUAAGUCGACAAUUUUAUCAAAAACUGGCAACAUUCACAGCAACUCUUCUCUCUGAUUGGUUUAUUCCGUGUAAUGUUGCCAGUAAAUAGCAAAAAAAAACUCUAAUACGACCAAUUGUAUUGAAAAUUAUAAUCUGGAGUGGAUUUAUAGAAAGGGAUGAAAAUAUUUAAUCAUAAUGGUGCAUAGUAGAGGUAUACAUACGGAUGGACAGAUUAUUAUAGUUAUUAGUAAGCCUAAACAAAUUGCUAUAUUAAAAAAAACUUUAUUGUCAAACCGUUGGUGUUUAAGAUCUUUUGAUGUGUAGACGUUAUUGGUGAACAAUAUGUAAAAAUAAAAGAUAAUUAUUUAGUUAUUUGAUGUAUUAGUCUUCCUAGAGUAAAUAAAUUUGAAAAGGUUUAUUCAAUUAGUGGCUCGGUGUAUUAUAAAAAAAAACAUAUUCGUUUAUUCCGCUACAUUCACAGGUCUUAAUAAAUUAAAAAUAAUAAUUUCAACGGUAACAAGCUCGCCUCCUAUUAAAUAGAGCUUGAACAUAGGUAGCGACGAGUGGGUGUACAUUAUUAUACACCACUGCCUAUCCCUUCGAGGAUACAGGCAUGAUGCUUAAAAAAAAUUAGAACACGCUCAGCUACUUGAUAUCCCAGUCAUGUCGUGUAAACCGACAACCUGUAGUUAGGGAUUUUGACAACAUUCCGUAUUAACUAGUCACUCUACUCAUAUUUGCUUUUCAAUGAGGGGGUCUAAAAAGGCCAUAUUGAAGCAAUUCAUCUUAAAAAGCAAUAUUGCUUUUUGGAAUUUGUAGUCAUUGCGCACUUACUUCUACAUGCGUAACUGUCAAAUUGCAAUAUUGGUUUCAGAGGAAUUGCUUCAAUGUGGCCUUUAGACAUAUUGAAUGUUUAAUUGAGGCAAAAAAUAAACCUAGUCACUAAUUGCAAAGAGUUGUUCACCAAUUCCGUCACUUUAGGGAGUAUACUCCUGACGUUUUCUUAUGAUUAAGAUAAGAGAAGCUCUAUUUUAGUGUAUCGUAUCACUCUAUUUGGGGGGUCUAAAACGGCCACAUUGAAGCAAUUCAUCUAAAAUUCAAUUUGAGACUUCGUCAUAUAAAAGUCAGCGUGACAUGUCAACGAAUGUCAAAUAUCAAUUUUGCUUUUUUAGAUAAAUUGCUCCAAUGUGGCCUUUUUAGCACCCCUGUACUCGCUUUCGGUGUCAGUCUAGCUUUAACUAACUGUAUAUGUCCCCUUUUCGUAGUAUAUUUGGAGACCGGUACAGCGUAACUUUUUAUAUGCAAGACAAGGAAUAGUGGUAUAUUAUACUAUACACCUCUACCUACCACUUUGGGGAUACACGCGUGAUGUUGCUAUUGGAUAUUGGAUGAGACCUACAUAGAUGAAGUUACGCUGUAUUUGCGUUUAAGACCUUUCUUGUCAUAAAACUUCUACUUAUCAAAAACUCUAUAUUUUGUCCACUCUAGAUCUCUUCUAUACCUAAGUGUACCUAAAUCUAAUUAAUUUCUAAAUCAUCUUAAUUCUAGUCAUUUUGUAUAUUAAGUUGAGAAUAGAAAUAAAAAUAUCCAAUGACAAUAGAAGAAAAUGCUUAAAUGUAAAAUAAAAUAUACAGUAUUAAAUGGAAAUUAUUUGCUGAUAAAGAAAUUUAAUUAGUUUUAAUAAACUAAAUCUUUGGAGUUAUUUCAAAAAGCCUAAAAUUUAUUUAUUUAUCUAUUUUAUUAUAAAAUAUUUAGUUUGUAACUCAUAUUUACAAGCAGCUUUACAGGAGUCUAGAUUUAUAAUCAAAUUAACAGUCGGUAAGGCGUUUUCACUAUAAUACUUAUAGCUUGUUUUGUUUACAGAAUAAUUAUUUUCCCUGAUGUGUCUUUCGCACAUCAUCCUCAUUUUAAGGGUGUAGGGACCCCAGUCUAGUUCCUACCCGUUACCUAGAUGGCGUACGUAUAGCAUAUUCAGUGUAAAACGUAAAUAAAUUAGUCUUUUUCUCAUUUAACCUUAUUUCUGAGGCUUAAUUUUAUUUGUGCCACAAGAGGUAAUGGUGCUAAUUCCUGUAGACGCCAUCUAAUUUUAUUUUAAGUUAUACCUGUCAUUUUCUUAUCCGUUGAAAAAGAAAGGGACGGGUAAUCGACAGGCAUAAAAUUUAUGGAAUACACGUCAAUUUUAAGCAGAAAUCUAAAACAACCGUCUAAAUAUUUUACAUCAGCUAAUAACCCAACAGAGUUAAGUAGUCAGCACGUCAAACGGAUUACAUACCAGCGAGAUGCCUAUUUUAUUAGCCCUGGUUAUUCAUUCGUUUUACAAUUAACUUGUUGACAAUCAUCCGUCCCUUUCCUUUUCGGCGGAUAAGAAAAUGACGGGUAUAACUUAAAGUAAAAUUACGAGGUGUCUGCAGGAAUCGGGGACAAUAUCAUAAUUAAAACACAUAAUACCGGGUUCUUACCACGGUAAUCAGAUAUCUGUUGUCCACAGUCGACAGUCGUCCCGUAAUCAUGGCACUUGCAACAGUGUUGAAAUAUCGGGACUCUCAUAUGUACCUAUAUCGGUUUUUAGUAAGAUUAUCCAUGCUUCGGAAUACACGUUAAGCUAUCGGUCGCGGUUACUAUUUCCUUCAGUAAGUACGUAGUCAUUACAAGAGGCUUUUGGCGGCUCAACAGUACCCUGACACCAGGGUUGAUGAGGUCAGUUAUUGAUCUGACAAUCCACACGAAAGAAGACUAAUUUAUGAUUAUGAAAGGAGUUUUGUCUGUCCGUACGAAAUUGCGGUAAUCCUUAAACGUUCAUAAAUGUAUUGUUUGACAUGAUUCAGUGGAUACUAUGUUUAAUAAAAUUAUGUUGAGAUGUUGUUUUUUAUAAAAAAAAAUAAACAUUAAAAAAGUUGUUCCCAA